UACGUAGGGUGCAAGCGUUGUCCGGAAUUAUUGGGCGUAAAGAGCUCGUAGGCGGUUUGUCGCGUCUGCUGUGAAAACUCGGGGCUUAACCCCGGGCCUGCAGUGGGUACGGGCAGACUAGAGUGCGGUAGGGGAGACUGGAAUUCCUGGUGUAGCGGUGAAAUGCGCAGAUAUCGGGAAGAACACCCGUGGCGAAGGCGGCACUCUGGGACGGUACUGACGCUGAGACGCGAAAGCGUGGGGAGCGAACAGG
rnacentral:rRNA from 1 species